rnacentral:misc_RNA from 1 species
UGGUUAUUAAGAAUAAGGAGAAGGUGGAAAAUUUAGAAGUAGUGGAUUUUUGCAUCGAGAGUGAGCGGGAUGACCACGGAGAAUAUGAUGGAGCAGUGGUUGUGAAACAUAUUAUGAAGAAGGAGAAGAAGAGGAGUAAGGUGGUUAAUUCAGAGCUGGAAAAAAAUUUGGGGGUAGAAGCUAAUGUAAUUAGUCUGUUGGAUGAGUCUUGUUCGAGAGGAACUCGAAAUAAUGCUGGUAAAAAUAAAAUCGACACCAAUCAUGGUAGCAAUUCCAAAGAUUUUA